rnacentral:rRNA from 1 species
AGGCUGCAACUCGCCUGCAUGAAGUUGGAAUUGCUAGUAAUCGCGAAUCAGAAUGUCGCGGUGAAUACGUUCCCGGGCCUUGUACACACCGCCCGUCACACCAUGAGAGUCGAUAACACCCGAAGCCUGUGAGCUAACCUUAGGGAGGCAGCAGUCGAAGGUGGGGUUGAUGAUUAGGGUGAAGUCGUAACAAGGUACC